UCCCUUUCUUCUCUCCUUUCUCUUCACGCACGCACACAUGGCCGAGAGAGAGAGAGAGAGAGAACAAGAUCGAAUGAGAGAGAGAGAGAGAGAGCUGCUGCUGUUUGAAUAAGAAGAAAGAGGAAGAAAGAGAAAGAAGAAGAAGAAGAAGAAGAAAGUGAGGACCGAAAAUGGGAUUUCCGACCCAUGGAUUUUUGUUGGGUGCUGGCAAGUGGGUCAAGGUUGCUAAGAGAACCCAAGCGGAUCAAUACAAUGUUGUGGAUGCAGGUAUAGAGACGAUAGAUGAGGAUCCUGUUGCCAUGUAUUUGGGCCACGAUGUUUGAGGCCUAGAUGCGUCGAGGGUUGAUUCUGUUGGACUAGUUAUUAGUCCUUUUUGUUAGAGCAUUUAUGUAUAUGCUUAGAUGUUGGU